AUUGAACGCUGGCGGCAGGCCUAACACAUGCAAGUCGAACGGUAACACGAAACAGCUUUCUGCUUCGCUGACGCGUGGCGGACGGGUGAGUGAUGUCUGUGAAACUGUAUGAUGGAGGGGGAUAACUACUGGAAACGGUAGCUCAUACCGCGUAUCGUCGCAAGACCAAAGAGCGGGACCUUCGGGCCCCUUGCCAUCUGAUGUGCCCAGAUGGGAUUAGCUUGUUGGUGGGGUAACGGCUCACCAAGGCGACGAUCCCUAGCUGGUCUGAGAGGAUGACCAGCCACACUGGAACUGAGACACGGUCCAGACUCCUACGGGAGGCAGCAGUGGGGAAUAUUGGACAAUGGGCGCAAGCCUGAUGCAGCCAUGCCGCGUGUGUGAAGAAGGCCUUCGGGUUGUAAAGUACUUUUGGCGGGAAGGAAGGGAGUAAAGUUAAUACCUCUGCGCAUUGACGUUACCCGCAGAAGAAGCACCGGCUAACUCCGUG
rnacentral:rRNA from 1 species